GGCCCAAUCAGUCAAUUAAGCUGCAAAUAGGGGAGAUUUAGGCUGUGUGUGGGGCACGAGUUAGAAGGGAGAUCACCUACAAGGGAACAAGCAGGAAUUCUAUAAAGCCAGGAGGCUGGCAACAGGAAGUCUGCAGUCUCUCCCCCUGAGAUAAGGGAGAAGGAAGGAGGAAUAGGAACCUGUGAGGAAGGGUUUACACAGUAGGCCUAAGAGAGAGGUUGCUGACUAGGAAGACUGAAGAGCAGACCCGCCCUCUGUCGUAUCUGUCACUGGUGGACUGGUGAAGUUCUCCUUCCCUCUUCCCUAUGUGGUGCACAAAUAAUAAAGACUGACCAGAAAUAAGGGUUAAACAACAGCACUUCCGGGGUGGCGGUGAAGUCCAGGACCUCCACUCCAUGGGUAAUUAGAACCUGUAGAGGAGGAGCACUGGAGAGUCCCUCGAUGACAGUUGGGAUGGAAGAAAUGGACCGAAAACCCUCUAGUUGUUGACAUUCCCAGGAACAGGAGCAGCACUGCCACUGCUAAUUUAUAGACCAGGAGCCGUGUUUGGAAGAGCUGAUCAGCAGUGUCAAAGGUAGUCCCCAUGGGGUCACCUGCCCUGGAGAAGUAUCUUCAGUGCAAAAGGCUCCCAGGAUAACACCUGGAAGGAGGGUCCCAACCAUGGGAUCAUUUCCCUACAUUUCAGCUUGAUGUUCUCCUUUCUUGAGACUAUCCUGCUCCUCCUCAACAGCACAGAGGCUGUCAGACUCUGGGUGGGACUGUUCUACUGUGUCCCGGAAAGGCUCCUUUGUGUACCUCUGUUUCCCUUAGCUCCUCCAGUUCGGCCACUCUGGUCUCAAGAGCCCAUAGUCGGUCUCUGAAGGGCCAUGAGCUCCUUGUAUCUAAUGUACACACAUGCCACCUUCCCACAAGAUUGGUAAUCAUACAUGCUGCAGUCAGUGCAAUAAAUUGAAUA